rnacentral:rRNA from 1 species
GGCAGCGGCGAUAGCAAGGUGAAUGUGCCAGUUCCCGUCGAAUCACUGUAAGCAACGUAGCGCGCGAUUGGUAUCCGGAUGACCAUCUGGUCAAUCGCAUGCUGCUGGCU